rnacentral:misc_RNA from 1 species
CGUAGGUGAACCUGCGGAAGGAUCAUUAAAGAGAAUAUGCCCUUCGGGGUAGAUCUCCCACCCUUUGUUUAUAUUACCUUUGUUGCUUUGGCAGGCCCGUCUUCGGACCACCGGCUUCGGCUGGUCAGUGCUUGCCAGAGGACCCAAAACUCUUAUUAUUAAUGUCGUCUGAGUACUAUAUAAUAGUUAAAACUUUCAACAACGGAUCUCUUGGUUCUG